rnacentral:ncRNA from 1 species
GUAAAGACAGGGAACGAAGAGAGUAAUAUGUACCGGAACUAACAGAGAGAAGCUGUCACUGGCUGAAAGCAGUUUUGAGGGAAGGACAUAUGAAGUGCAUUCGGGAGUCGAUUCGGCGAACAGGUCACACAAGUAGCCGGAUACGGGUCACACACGUUACGUGUAUCGAGUGGAAGCACCGGCUUCUACAAGAGUGGAACCGCGGGCAGACCCCGUCUCUUGA